AUUGAACGCUGGCGGCAGGCCUAACACAUGCAAGUCGAGCGGAGCGGCGGACGGGUGAGUAAUGCCUAGGAAUCUGCCUGGUGGUGGGGAUUAACGUCGGGAAACGGCCCCUAAUACCGAAAACUAUCAGUUAAGCCAAGGUCGGAUUAGCUAGUUGGUGGGGUAAAGGCCUACCAAGGCGACGAUCCGUAACUGGUCUGAGAGGAUGAUCAGUCACACUGGAACUGAGACACGGUCCAGACUCCUACGGGAGGCAGCAGUGGGGAAUAUUGGACAAUGGGCGAAAGCCUGAUCCAGCCAUGCCGCGUGUGUGAAGAAGGUCUUCGGAUUGUAAAGCACUUUAAGUUGGGAGGCGUUACCAACAGAAUAAGCACCGGCUAACUUCGUGCCAGCAGCCGCGGUAAUUC
rnacentral:rRNA from 1 species